rnacentral:rRNA from 1 species
CCCCUUCGGGGGGACAGGGUGACAGGUGGUGCAUGGUUGUCGUCAGCUCGUGUCGUGAGAUGUUGGGUUAAGUCCCGCAACGAGCGCAACCCUCGACCUUAGUUGCCAGCAUUCAGUUGGGCACUCUAAGGUGACUGCCGGCUAAAAGUCGGAGGAAGGUGGGGAUGACGUCAAAUCAUCAUGCCCCUUAUGACCUGGGCUACACACGUGCUACAAUGGGCGGUACAAAGGGUCGCGAACCCGCGAGGGGGAGCCAAUCCCAAAAAGCCGCUCUCAGUUCGGAUUGCAGGCUGCAACUCGCCUGCAUGAAGCCGGAAUCGCUAGUAAUCGCGGAUCAGCAUGCCGCGGUGAAUACGGUUCCCGGGCCUU